rnacentral:rRNA from 1 species
UACGGAGGGGGCUAGCGUUGUUCGGAAUCACUGGGCGUAAAGGGCGCGUAGGCGGCUUUGUAAGUCGGGGGUGAAAGCCUGUGGCUCAACCACAGAAUUGCCUUCGAUACUGCAUGGCUUGAGACCGGAAGAGGUAAGUGGAACUGCGAGUGUAGAGGUGAAAUUCGUAGAUAUUCGCAAGAACACCAGUGGCGAAGGCGGCUUACUGGUCCGGUUCUGACGCUGAGGCGCGAAAGCGUGGGGAGCGAACAGG